CUGAAUAGGUAGGUUUAAGACGCCACUGCAACAUCUUUGAAAUAUUUACAAGGAAUGAAGCUUCAUUGGGGUUGCCUAAAGUUUCAAAUAGCUCCAUCCCUGUCUCAACAUGUUCAACAAUGUUGCAUCUAGAGCUGGCCCUCCUGUUAGGCGGAAUGAGGUGGUCAACUCAAGUGACAGAGGACCAUUGGGAGCAGUCCCAGGUCCCUGAAAGACAAAUCUUAGAAUGAGAAGAGCUGGAGGAAGAAGAAGGAAAAAAAGAUAUUCUCCAAAGACCCACCUUGAGUGACAACACAAAUGUCUGAAAACUCACCAGCUAAUCACUGAUUUGGGUUUUAAAUACUGAGGGAAUUGGAAACUGAUGACCUGGCAACCUUGUUACCUCUUAUCCUACAAAUGAAAACAUUUCCACAAGCCCAAGAUUCUUUUUUUAUAUGUAGUUUUUAAAAAACUGAUGACACAAAAACAUGAAUAUAAUACAAUAAUACAAAAAAGUGGGACCAUCUGGCGAUAUAACCAAUUUUUCCUCCAUUACAGAGCUCCAUUCCUGCUCCAAAACUGCAUUGAUUCUUGUGAAGGUAGAAGCCCGACCCUUUUGAAAACACAAACUCAGUAAAUUCUCCCCAUAUAUUGACAGAGCUAUUCUUCUGUAGCA